CACAUAAACAUUCAGGCCAACCUCAGUGCACAAUCAUCUCCAGGGAAAUUACCUGUGAUUUCCAACAUAAAACUAUCCACAAUGCACAUACCCAGUUCCACUCAUGCACACUUUAUUUCUGACUGUAGAUUUACUUCCAACAAAACAACAGAUUCAAGUUAAGGGGCUGGAUCACCAACUAUUGUAAACCAUCUCAUUAUCAGCUGUGGAGCUCCACUAAUUUCAUCAGAUAGUAUUUGACCUGAAGUCUGCCUAGGUCAAAUAGGGAGCAUUGUGCCUAAGUGAUUUGGAGAAACUGGAUGAAUGGAUGAAUACAUCAGAAAAAUGGAAUUAAGUUUGCUGCAGCCAUGGGGAGCAGUAGGGUUUCAACAGAAGUGGACAAGAAAAUUAAAACUGUUGUGAUUCAAAGAGAGCCGAAUAGAAAGAGAAGCAAAUAAGCUGAGAAUGGAACGCCUUUUAGAACUGCAGAUACAAAUAAGUUUCAAAAUGUUUCAGCAGUCUUCUGACAGUACCAGAGCUAACAUCAAAAACUACAGGGCAUCUUUUAUCAGUUUCACUUGAAUAAUUAAAGGGAGAAGCAACAUGUAAAGCCGGCAUGGACGAAGUAAAGUCACGCUGCUACUCGCACCAAAACCUGUCUCUGGGUCAGACAGAUAGUGAUUUCUACACUGAUACACAGGUGAU
rnacentral:lncRNA from 1 species